rnacentral:pre_miRNA from 1 species
AAAAAGACAAACCCUGGUUUCCGUGCCCAACAUUUGACCGUCCGUCUUAUUUGAAAAAAUUAUGAAAAAAAUUAAAAAGACAAGUUACGCAUAAAAUAUUAAUCAUGUUUUAUCAUCUAACAACAAUAAAAAUACGAAUUAUAAAAAAAUUUCAUAUAAGACGGACAGUCAAAGUUGGACACGAAAAUCCAUGAUUUGUUUUUUU